rnacentral:rRNA from 1 species
UACGUAGGGGGCAAGCGUUGUCCGGAAUCAUUGGGCGUAAAGAGCGCGUAGGCGGCCCAGUAAGUCCGCUCUGAAAGUCAGGGGCUCAACCCCUGGAUGCGGGUGGAUACUGUCGGGCUAGAGUGCGGAAGAGGCGAGUGGAAUUCCUGGUGUAGCGGUGAAAUGCGCAGAUAUCAGGAGGAACACCUAUUGCGAAGGCAGCUCGCUGGGACGUAACUGACGCUGAGACGACGAAGCGUGGGGAGCAAACAGG